UGAUUUUGCUGCUGGUGCCAUGGAAAAUUGGGGCCUUGUUACUUACAGGGAGACUGCUUUGCUGAUCGACCCAAGGAACUCGUGUGCAUCCUCGCGCCAGUGGGUGGCCCUCGUGGUGGGCCAUGAACUUGCUUACCUGUGGUUUGGGAAUUUG